rnacentral:rRNA from 1 species
ACAGAGGUGGCAAGCGUUGUUCGGAAUUACUGGGCGUAAAGGGCGCGUAGGCGGCCUCCUAAGUCAGACGUGAAAUCCCCCGGCUUAACCUGGGAACUGCGUCUGAUACUGGAAGGCUUGAGUAUGGGAGAGGGAUGUAGAAUUCCAGGUGUAGCGGUGAAAUGCGUAGAUAUCUGGAGGAAUACCGGUGGCGAAGGCGGCAUCCUGGACCAUUACUGACGCUGAGGCGCGAAAGCUAGGGGAGCAAACGGGAUUAGAUACCCCGGUAGUCCUAGCCCUAAACGAUGAAUACUUGGUGUGGCGGGUAUCGAUCCCUGCCGUGCCGAAGCUAACGCAUUAAGUAUUCCGCCUGGGGAGUACGGUCGCAAGGCUG